GCAGCCGCGGUAAUACGGGGGAUGCAAGCGUUAUCCGGAUUUAUUGGGUUUAAAGGGUGCGUAGGCGGUCGAUUAAGUCAGCGGUGAAAUUUAGGGGCUCAACCUCUACCGUGCCGUUGAUACUGGUUGGCUAGAAUGCGGAUGCCGUGGGAGGAAUGUGUGGUGUAGCGGUGAAAUGCAUAGAUAUCACACAGAACACCGAUUGCGAAGGCAUCUCACGAAUCCGCAAUUGACGCUGAGGCACGAAAGCGUGGGGAUCAAACAGGAUUAGAUACCCC
rnacentral:rRNA from 1 species